rnacentral:rRNA from 1 species
UACGGAGGGUGCGAGCGUUAUCCGGAUUCACUGGGUUUAAAGGGAGCGUAGGCGGGCAUGUAAGUCAGUGGUGAAAUCUUGGGGCUCAACCCCGAAACUGCCAUUGAUACUAUGUGCCUUGAAUGUCGUUGAGGUUUGCGGAAUAUGUCAUGUAGCGGUGAAAUGCUUAGAUAGUGACAUAGAACACCGAUUGCGAAGGCAGCAGGCUAAACGAAUAUUGACGCUGAGGCUCGAAAGCGUGGGGAUCAAACAGG